rnacentral:rRNA from 1 species
CCCUUAGAUGUUCUGGGCUGCACGCGCGCUACAAUGAUGCACUCAACGAGUUUACGACCUUGCCCGAUAGGGUUGGGUAAUCUUUUUAAAAUGCAUCGUGAUGGGGAUAGAUUAUUGCAAUUAUUAAUCUUCAACGAGGAAUUCCUAGUAAGCGCGAGUCAUCAGCUCGUGCUGAUUACGUCCCUGCCCUUUGUACACACCGCCCGUCGCUCCUACCGAUUGAGUGCUCAGGUGAAUAAUUCGGACUGCAGCAAUGUUUGGAUCCCGAACGUUGCAGCGGAAAGUUUAGUGAACCUUAUCACUUAGAGGAAGGAGAAGUCGUAACA